rnacentral:rRNA from 1 species
CGGCAACAGCUCAAAUUUGAAAUCUGGCCCCUCGGGGUCCGAGUUGUAAUUUGUAGAGGAUGCUUUUGAUGCGGUGCCUUCCGAGUUCCCUGGAACGGGACGCCAUAGAGGGUGAGAGCCCCGUCUGGUUGGAUGCCAAAUCUCUGGAAAGCUCCUUCGAC